CACUCCUACGGGAGGCAGCAGUGGGGAAUAUUGGACAAUGGGCGCAAGCCUGAUCCAGCCAUGCCGCGUGAGUGAUGAAGGCCCUAGGGUUGUAAAGCUCUUUCACCGGUGAAGAUAAUGACGGUAACCGGAGAAGAAGCCCCGGCUAACUUCGUGCCAGCAGCCGCGGUAAUACGAAGGGGGCUAGCGUUGUUCGGAUUUACUGGGCGUAAAGCGCACGUAGGCGGACUAUUAAGUCAGGGGUGAAAUCCCGGGGCUCAACCCCGGAACUGCCUUUGAUACUGGUAGUCUUGAGUUCGAGAGAGGUGAGUGGAAUUCCGAGUGUAGAGGUGAAAUUCGUAGAUAUUCGGAGGAACACCAGUGGCGAAGGCGGCUCACUGGCUCGAUACUGACGCUGAGGUGCGAAAGCGUGGGGAGCAAACAGGAUUAGAAACCCGUGUAGUCCC
rnacentral:rRNA from 1 species